AACAGAGUCACAUAGUUGUACUGAGUUACAGAAUAUUUGAAUUUGUCCUGCAGUAAACACAAUUCCGCUGCACUGCAUUUGUUAAACCCGUAUAAUGGAUGUAUUGUUUGCUUUACAGACAAACUUUUGGCCUUUAUUAAUUGCUGCUGCUGUUUUCUUUUUUAUUUGGAAAAGUCUCAGUAAAGAAUAUCAGUGUAAGUUUGGACGGCUGCCUCCAGGUCCAGCUCCUGCACCUGUGUUUGGGAAUUUCUUUCAGGUUUAUGUAAAGGAACCGUACAACUAUUACCUUGAGCUCAGUAAAAAACAUGGAUCUAUUUUCACCCUUUGGUUUGCCAACACACCUGUUGUGGUGAUCUCUGGAUACCGAGCCCUGAAAGAAACAAUGAUUGGUAUGGGCAAUGAGUUUAGUGGCAGGGAAAACUACCCUCUCAUAAUGAAGAUCACUAAUGGAUAUGGUGUUUUGGUCAGCAGUGGGGAAAGAUGGAAGCAGCUUCGGCGGUUCACUCUGUUAACCCUCAAGAACUUUGGGAUGGGUCGACACACCAUCGAGGACAAGGUGAAGGAGGAGGCCAGCUGUCUUGUGCAAAGUUUUAGUACAUUUGGAGACUCAGCUUUCAAUCCAGGAAUCAUAAUAAAUAAAGCAGUGUGCAGUGUGAUCUGCUCAAUCAUAUUUGGACAGAGAUUUGAAUCAGAUGACCCACAGUUAAAUCUUAUGCUUGGGGCUGUUGAUGACUACUUUAAUGUUCUCAAUAGUCCACUUGGACAGGCCUAUAAUAUUUUUCCCAAAAUUGUGGGCCUUUUCCCUGGACGUCUCCAUGACAUGUUGUCAGAAGUGGAAAAGGCCAAAGGUUUAUUUAAGCUUGAAGCAGAGGCACGGAUGAAGACACUGGAUCCUUCUUCACCCCCUAAAGAUUUUAUUGAGGCUUUUCUUUUACAAAUGGAAGAGGAGAAGCAUAACCCUAAUACAGAAUUUACCUUCAAUAACUUAUUGUGCACAACAUGGGCCAUGUUUAGUGCUGGCACUGAGACUACGUCUUCUACAAUCAGACAAAGCCUGCUGCUAAUGAUGAAGCACCCAGAUAUUCAAGCACGAGUCCAGAAGGAGAUUGAUAAAGUGGUUGGGCAAGACCGAUACCCUUCUAUUGAUGACAGACAGAACAUGCCAUAUACAGAUGCAGUCAUUCACGAAGUUCAGCGCUCCAUGGAUCUUGCUCCCACUGCUGUUCCACAUAAAAUGUUAUAUGACACUGAGUAUAGGAACUAUCUCAUACCCAAGGGAACCAUGGUUCUUCCUUUGCUGUCUUCUGUGCUUUCUGACCCUAAGCUAUGGAAAAACCCUGACAAUUUUGAUCCAGAGAACUUUCUGGAUGAAAAGGGACGAUUCAAAAAAAGUGAUGCAUUUGUUGUAUUUGGAAUGGGUAAGCUAAAAUCUAGGAUGAUCCCUAGAAAUGAUCAUGACUGACACUGCUGUUCUGUGAUUUUUAUAGGCCUACUGCUUUUAUUCCAAAUAUGAAAUUAUGGGGUCCACAUGGAGUGCUGAAAGAGGUGCCUUUUGGGAGCUUCAUAGCACUAGUUUCAAUUCAAAGAGUACAAGUUCAAAGAGUGUUGGGUUCUGAGGAAUUUGACAUGGGUGAUGAAGGGAAUUCCUCCGUCAAUUUGCCACCACAGCCAGUGGCAUUCGAGGAGCUUCUCGAAAUAAUUACAUUUAAAUUGGCCGGAGCAGGAAGCUAUCGUCAUCUGUUCAAAGCUAGACAACCGUUUUCUGACUUCUUGACAGGGCAGAGAGAAAGGGUAGUGUGGCAGCCUGUGCCCCCUACCAAAAUCUAGGGAGGCCGGCCAGUGGGCACGGGCUCAGGCCUGUCAGGUGAGACCUGACCUGAGAUUGGUCAUCUCAGCCAGGCAGGCCAUGAAGGAAUCCUGAUGUCCAUGGGCUAGGGUUCCUGGGAGCACCCUCCUUAGUGGGGCUUUCCCUACCCUCUACCCCACCACCUCUGGUGUUUUGGGGCUUGGUACGACCCACUCUUGCACCCGUUUCCUUUAUAAAUCCAUCCCCCCAGUCUGUACAUGCCAGUACACUGUUUCAAGACACCAGGGGGGACAACAUGAGUUUGACACCUCUCUCAGAGAACCUGGCAGCAUGGAAACGUCUGCCAGGUGUCUCUCAGUGGGACCUAGAUACCAUAAAGAAAGGGUACAGGAUCCAGUUUGCCACCCAUCCCCCUCAAUUUCAGGCACACACCAAACUUUGUUCCUCCAAGAGGGACUUCUCUCCCUUCUGAGAAAAGGGGCCAUAGAGCAUGUUCCCCUUCCAGAUCGGGAUUCAGACUUUUACAGCUGGUAUUUUGUUGUACCCAAGAGAGACAGGGGGCUGCUUCCAGCCUGCGACCUGCGAGCUCUGAACUCUGCCCUAAAGAAGUUCAAGUUCAAGAUGCUCACUACAAAACUGAUUGCAUCACAGAUCAGAUCUGAGGACUUGUUUGUGAUGAUAGACCUCAAGGAUGCCUAUUUUCAUAUAGGCCAGAACACAGGAAGUUCCUCUGGUUUGCUUUCGGUGGCGAAGCUUACCAGUAUCAGGUUUGUCCUCUUGGUCUAGCUGUCCGUGUACUCAAUUACCUGGAUGACUGGCUUAUCCUGGCCCACUCCAAGGCCAUGGCAGUCACCGGGAUGCAGUACUUGCCCUAUGAGGUCUGUAGGCCUCAGGAUCAACCCAGAAAAGUUUGUGCUUUCUCCAUAUCAGAUAACCACCUUCUUGGGGGUGAUUUGGGAUUCCACCACGAUGCGGGCAUGUCUAUAUAACUGCUCGGAUGACUUCCAUACUGUCAGUAGUAAUUGUUGUUUGGCUAGACCGAAACCUCUCUGUCACCGAGGCGCAGAGAGUCCUCAGCCUCAUGGCAGCUGCAGCCAACGUGAUUCCUUUGGGUCUGCUUCACAUGAGUCCGUUCCAGUUCUGGCUCAGAGGUGCGGGCUUCCAUCCUCACAGGCAUCCCCUCAACGCCAUCAGGGUUAUACGCUGCGGGCUUACGCUGUACCCUACUAAUGUGGACAAGACCCUGGUUUCUGGCCUUGGGUCCCACUCUAGGGGCGUGUCACCAUCUCAGGACUCUUUCGAUGGACGCCUCACUUUUGGGCUGGGGUGCAGUCUUGGAUGGCUGCCCUGCCUAGGGUCUUUGGGAAGGCCCUCAACUCUCAUGGCACAUAAAUUGCCUGGAGAUGAGGGCUGUGUUUCUAGCUCUGAAACACCUUCUCCCACACCUCAUGGGCUUCCUUGUGCUGGUACACACAGACAGCACCACAGUGGCUGCUUAUAUCAACCAUCAGGGUGGACUGUAUUUGCGCCCUCUCUAAACAUUGGUGCAGCAGAUCCUGCUCUGCUCCAACAAGUCCUAGCCAGAGUGCACCACGAUGGGGUACACCUUAUUCUAGUGGCUACCCGCUGGCCCGCUCGAGUUUGGUUCACAGACCUUGUCUCCCUCCUAGACACCGCUCCUUGGAAGAUUCCCAUCAGGAAAGAUCUCCUCUCUGAGGCAUGAGGGGUGAUUCUCCACCCCCGCCCAGGGAUGUGUAAGCUCUGGGUCUGGCCCCUGAGGGGGACCAGUUCCUAGAGGCAGGCCUCUCAUCAGAGGUUGUGGAGACUCUGCUGAAUGCUAGGGCUCCCUCCACUAGGAAGCUUUAUGCUCUUAAGUGGAGACUGUUUAGUCUCUGGUGUGCUCAGUGCGAGCAGGACCUAGUGCACUGCACAGUGCUGGGUUUCCUACAGUGUUCUCUUUCUUAGGGCCUGUCCCCCUCUACCGUAAAGGUGUAUGUGGCCGCCAUUGCUGCGAACCUUGUCCUUGGGGCCUCCCUAGGUAGGCACCCUCUGGUCUCUCGCUUUCUGUGGGGUGCCAGGCAGCUGAGGCCUUCCUGCAGACUGCACCUCCCCUUCUGAAACCUCUCAGUGGUCCUGGACGGGUUGCUGGAAACCCCCUUGAGCUCAUGGAGUCAGCCUCAGAGAAGUUUCUGACCCUUAAUAUGGCUCUAGCCUAUGCUUAGUAUGGUUCUAGGCUUUUAGCCUUGGCCUCCCUUAGACGGGUAGGGGAUCUGCAGGCUCUAUCAGUCGUACCUGCCUGCCUGGAGUUUGCCCCUGGCAUGUCCAAGGCUAUCUUUCACCCCAGGGCUGGAUGUCCCAAAGGUGUCCAGGAUGGCUGGUCGUCCAGUCAUACUGCAGGCCUUCUGCCUUCUGCCCCAUGACUUGGUGUAACAGGAGAGGCUGCACUUGCUCUGCCCAGUCAGAGCCCUUUAGACUUAUGUCCACUGCUCCACCUCGUGGCGUAAGUCUCCAUCCUUGUUUGUCUGCUUUGGGAGCUGGAACAAGGUUAAUCUGGUCUCCAAGCAGAGCUUGGCACACUGGGUGGUAAAGGACAUUACUCUGGCCUACGAGGCACAUGGUAUUGCUUUGCCUCUAGGGGUCAGGACUCACUCUACUAGGGGUGUCUCCUCAUCCAAUGCCCUGGCUAGGGGUGUUCCCCUCCAGAAGAUUUGUGCUGUCCUGUCUGCACACCUUUGUCAGGUUUGACCAUUGUGUGGCGUCCUUUUGCACUUCCUUCCGACAAAGGAAAGCUGAAUGAAUGUUAUGUAGAUGCCCUUAUAUGGACAUGCUGGCGCGUAUUCCUCCGUCACGUGUCCUAUCUGAGCCAAUGAAUUGGCGUGUGUGCACAGGGAGCUUCAGACACACUUCCUCGACAAAGUGUUCCCAUAGUGUCAGUCAUAACGCAGCAUCUCGUUCCCUUCUCAGGGAACAGGGUUACUUAUGUAACCUGUUGUAGAUUUGUCUCAUCUGUCCAAAGGACAUUCUCCCAGAAGCUUUGUGGCUUGUCAAUAUGCAUUUUUCCAAAUUCCAGUCUCACUUUUUUAUGAUUUGCUUUCAACAGUAGAGUCUUCCACUUUGGCUCAAACAGUGACGGAUGGCGCAAUCUGACACUGAUGUACCUUGACCUUGGAGUUCACCUCUAAUCUCUUUGGUUACCAUUUGUAUCAUCUGUCUCUUCAAUUUGUCAUCUAUUUUCCUUUUCGGCCAUGUCCAAGGAGGUUGUCCACAGUCCCAUUGACCUUAAACUUCUGAAUAUGUGCAAGUGUAGUCACAGGAACAUCAAGCUGCUCGGAGAUGGUCUUAUAGCCUUUACCUUCAACAUGCUUAUCUAUAAUUUUCCUUCUAAUUUCCUGAGACAACUCCCUCCUUAGCUUCCUGUGCUCCAUGUUCAGUGUGGGGCACACCAUGAUACCAAACAUUACAGUGACUACUUUUCACUGUUUAAAUAGGCAGACUGACUUAUUACAAGUUGAAGACACCUGUGAUGCUAAUUACAGGACACAUAAUUAGUUUAAUAUGUCCCUAUGGUCAAAUUAUUUUCAUUUCUAGGGGAACCAUCAUUUUUGUCUAGGCCUGUUUCAUUAACUUGUUUUUGUAAAUCGUUCUGUUGAACCACAAUUCGAAUGCAAUGUCUGAUUUUCAUACGUCAAGUUUCAGUAAAUUUUUAUAUAUUACCUUUGUCAGUUUCAAGUUGUCAGUGAACAUUGUGGGUUUUUCUUUUUUUAAUGGAUGGUGGCCAACAAUUUUGUCCAUGUGUGUAUGUAGGCAUUGCACAAGGUUAUAAAGCCGGUAUUGCCCACUUUAAACGCAUCACAAGUUCACGUAUACUGCAAAAGCCGACAAGCACCCGUGUCGUUUGUGAGCAAAAACUGGUAAGUCCAUUUUAGCGAGUCAGCGCGCAGUAUUCAGUUCAGCUGACCAGGCUGCUAGUCACUUCGGAAAGACACACUUGAUGAGAGGAGUUUCACUGAACCAGACUAAGUGUUCAAGUAUGGAUAAUUUUGACGGACUUGAUGAACCUGUGAUAUAUUCUUCAGGGCGUAAAAGGAAAAAAACUGAAAUUUUUUGACGGAACAUUGCUAAAGCAGCACAUUACAGUGGUGAAAGGAAAGCUUUCUGUAUUUCGUGUGUAACUGAGCUUCCAUAUCGGGAGAGAGAGAAUUAUGGCGUGUAUUUCAUCAAAACCGAUUUUGACAGGUCUGACAGCCAAUCAGAAUCGUCCACGUCACAUUGUCCCACCCCUUUCAACCAAUCAGAAUCGUUCAUGUCACAUUGUCCCGCCCCUUUUCAACCAAUCCGAAAAACGUAUCCGCCACAUUAUCCUGCCCCACUUUCAUCCGAUGAGGUUGUUUGAUGGGGUGGGGUACAUAUGAUAUGACAUAUUGAAUAAGUUUAUGUCCAGAAUAUUCCUUUAGUCAGCGUUGGGUCCCCCAAGUGGAUUCACAACUUAGAGGAUCUGACAGAGGGUACAGAACUUCUACGCUCUCCAAUCUAUCAUUUUAGAGAUCACGGACCUUUCUGCAGAACAAGGUCAGGCUAUACAUAUCUGGCAGUAGUGUCUAGGAAAUCGAGAUCAAUCAGCAAUAGAUAACAGCGAAGUGAUUAUUUCAGAUGGCGAGUGUUUUAAAACAUCAACGUAAUUUACAUGUCACAACAAUUUGGGGGCAGCCUGCCGCUUGGGCCACAUCCGUGACCUAAGCCAAUUCCUCGAAUUACGGAACAAGGAGAAGAAGAAGAAGACAUAGGUCACGUUUUCGACGGGGGAGAAAAUAACGUCGAUCAAGCGGCUACAUAUCCUGAGGAGUGUUUCAUCACAUUGAAUGGAUUCUUUCGACUAAGAGACGAAAAAUUUGGAAGCUUUGAACGUCUGUUUAUUACACUUCAGGUAUUGAACAUCUUCAAUCAUUAUAUGAUACUCUUGAUUGUCUGAAUAGCUGUGAUGCUGUGAAUAUAGAGUUGAUAAAAAGAUUUCACAUUAGACAUGGCGCAGAAGCGGGUGAAUCUCACACAGUCUUCAGGGGCUAAGAAAAUACGUGGUGAAAAUAAUCUACCGUCUUGUGAUUUCGGUUUUGAUGAAACUUUUUCUAGUAGUUUGUCACAUCACAACUCAUGCACAACUCUGAACCCCUAUUUAACAGACGCUAUCGACCGGUUAAACGAGAGUUUAGGACCAUCACAGCAGCUUGUUAGACAGACCCCUAUUACAGAUUAUAGUGACAUCAUUACACCCGAGACACAACAACGUGACAUAAUCAGUGAACUUAACCAGACUCUGUUAGCAUUACAGAAUAGUCUAAAUGAACAAGGUUACUCUACACAGUCGAAUCCCUCAUUAAUAGAUGCUGUUAACCAGUUGAAUGUUAGUCUAAGAAGUCCUGAGCCGGUUAAUACCCAAUUAGAGCAUUCCAAUCAUAAUUCAGAUCAUAAUGUAUCAAUUACACCACAUACUCAACACGACAUAUUCAGUGAACUUAACCAGAGUCUGCUAGCAUUACAGAAUAGUCUAAAUGAACAAGGUUACUCUACCCCCUUGAAUCCUGAGUUAUUAGAUGCGGUUAAUCAAUUAAAUGAUAGUUUGGCUUUAGCCACAGAUCAAAACAUCAACGAGGUCCCUAUUUCAGAAAUCGAACAUAAUCAUACACCGUUAUCUCCACAUGAUCUGUUUCAUGAUCUUAACCAAAGCCUCGUUAUGUUAAAUGAGGGUUUUGUAAACUUUUUCGAUACCGUUGCUUCACAAAACAUUCAAACUAUAAAUGAACACAGGACUGAAACAGUAAAUGAUCAGUCUCCUAAUGUAGAAGACGUGCAAACAGCUGACACUGAGAACAUAAACCCCCAAAGCUGUAUUGACGUGCAAAUAUUUGGCGGUGUUAACAUACAACCCCCUAGUGUUGAAAGCAUGCAAUUAGAUAAUGACGAGAACCUAGCCCCUCCUAAUGUAGAAAACAUGCGAACAGAUAACGUCGAGAACAUAGCCCCUCCUAACGUGGAAAACGUGCAAGCUGGUAACGGGAUUGAUCCUAAUAUUAGAAUAAUUAAUCGCGACCGAUUCAAUAAUACUGAAAUUAGGAGAAGAGUAAAUUUUUCAUCGAUCGCAGCUGUAGACAGCUUUGCGGAUUUUUAUAAUUAUGUUUUAGAAAUCUUAAACAGUCUGAUAGAAGUGGCUAAUGAAAUGAUUUCACCAAAGGACAUAGUAACGGUUGAAAUUAGAGGUGAUACGAUCGACGUUUCUUCACAUAUUCAUCUAGUUAAUGGGUCUGUUGAUUUACAGUCUUUUCUGACCAUGCUUGAAAAUUCUAUUCAAAGUAAACGUGAAAUUUUUUCAGAUGACACACUCGAAAUAGUAAUCCAAAUAGUUCGACCACCUCGUGGUGGUUCAUAUAGAAGGAAGAUUAGUACAUUAUUCACUUCGGAAGCUAUACAGAAGAAGAUGAGACAUCUGUAUAUAUUUCAUAAUAAAUACAUGUGUUUUACACUGUGUGUUACACAACUUUUGAACCCUCAAAAUAAUGACCUUCAAACUGAAAAAAUCGCUAGGCAAAUCCUCCGUGAUGUAGGAUUAACUGAAAACACAGCUGUCACAUCUGCUGAUGUAUCUAAAUUUGAGAAGCAUCUGAAGUGUAAAAUUGUAAUCAUACACCGUUCUGACAACAAAGCUGGCUACUCUUUCUUUCAAACCAGCAGAACCCCCCAUAAAAAAACAAUUUACUUGUUCUUACAUGACAAUCAUUAUUACGGUGUUAAAAGCAUUACAGGACUUUUGGGGCGUAGUUAUGUCUGUCGUUUCUGUCAUUCAGGGUAUGAGAAUGCCAGAGCUCACAAGUGUGAGUUUAGCUGUAACAUUUGUCGUGAUGUAGAAUGCUACAAUCAUAGACAGAGUAUAAUUAAAUGUCCUGAUUGUUUGAGGUUGUGUAAGUCAAAACGUUGUUUCGACAUACAUAAAGUAAAACGCCGGUCAGAAAGAGGUGUAUACUCUCUGUGUGAAACAGGGUUCUAUUGCAGCAUGCGUAAUGUCGUAGAGUAUCGGAACCCCUUUAACCGGAGAGAUCAUGUGUGCUUAGAGAGCCGUUGUGAUCUCUGUGGUGAAAAAGUGGAUUCAGAAAUAUCGCAUUUCUGUUAUAUACAGCCGUUAAGGAAAGAAAAGCAGAAUAUGAGACACAUCUUUUAUGAUUUCGAGACUACACAGGAAACCGGAACUCAUACUGCUAAUUUAAUAUGUUGCAUGAAUUGUCGUGGUAUGUCGUGGGCGUUUGAAGGGGAGGGGUGUGUUGCAGCAUUUUUUAAGGCUUUCCGUCGUAAAAAGUACAGAGGGUACACAUUUAUAGCGCAUAACCCUAGAGGGUUCGAUUCAUACAUUUUGUUGAAUCAUUUAGUGAAAGAAGGAAUCGCCCCUGAUAUCAUUGCACAAGGUGGAAAAAUUCUGUGUUUUUCUGAUACAGAUUUUCGACAGAGAUACAUCGAUAGUCUGUCUUUCUCACCCAUGAAGUUAAGUAAUCCUCCUAAAGCCAUGGGGUUCUCAGAAAAAAAGAAAGGUUAUUUUCCGCAUUUCUGGAACACAAAAGAACACCAAGACUACAUAGGUCCAUAUCCUGAGCCCGAGCUUUACGGUGUGGAUAGCAUGAUGCCUAAGGACAGGGAGGAUUUUUUUUAUGUGGUACGCGACCGUGACUGACAAAGUCUUUAAUAAUUUAAGACAUUCUGAGACAGGGGUGUUUAGCUUUCAGAAAUGAAAUUCUAGAAAGUACAGAAGUUGAUCCCUUUAAAUGUAUAACAAUCGCAUCUGUAUGCUUGAAAAUCUUCCGGACAUUAUUUCUCGAUGAACACACACUAGCUAUCCCACUACUAGAUAAUUACAUCAAUAACCAGAAAUCUUUCUCAACACCAUCCAUUCAGUGGCUUGAAUACAUUUCCACCACACAAAACCUCCCCAUUCAACACACUCUGAACGAAAGUGAAGCAACAUUUGGCCUUUAUUCUGUUGAUGAAGAUGUGUGUUAUUGUGAAGUGGGUCAGAUGCGAAAGGCAUUUGAGUUUCUCGGCUGUUUUUAUCAUGGGUGUGAAAAGUGUUAUCCCUCAACGGCCCCUUUCCCCCUUAACGCCAACUUUAGCUACGGGGAUGUCCGUCAAAAAACAUUGGAGAAGUAUUUGCAAGAGGUACGCAAUUUACAUGUCACAACAAUUUGGGAGCAUGAGUGGAGUGAAAUGAAGAAAUGUGAUAACAACGUGGUAAACUUUCUAAAAGAGUUUGACUUUCCAGAGCGCAUAAACCCCCGAGACGCCCUUUACGGCGGUAGAACCAACGCAUUGCAUUUACAUUACACAGUAAAAGCAGGAGAGAGAAUAGAUUAUUAUGAUUUCACUUCUCUUUAUCCCUACGUGAAUAAGACAAAAACCUACCCAAUCGGUCACCCAGUCAUCAUUUACCGUGACUUUGAACCUCUAGAGAAUUAUUUUGGGAUAAUCAGAGCUAAAGUAUUACCGCCUAGAGGUCUGUGGUCUCCUGUUCUUCCUUACAGGGUAAGAAGCAAACUUCUUUUCCCUCUGUGUAAAACAUGCUGUGAGCAACAACUGCAAAAGCAGUGUCGCCAUUCAGAUCAAGACCGAGCUCUUAUCGGAACUUGGGCACCUGUCGAAAUAGCUAAGGCCAUUGAAAAGGGGUACAAAAUUUUGAAAGUGUUUGAGGUUUGGCACUUCCCCAAAACCAGGUAAUGCUAACGUAUUCAUCGGAAUUUUUUCACUACAGCAUAUGCGAGACUAGAACUGUACGAUCUGUUGGAUCGUUUAAAACAGCGUUGUUUAUACACAGACACAGACAGCGUCAUUUUUAAAAGCAGUGAAGGUGAUUGGAUGCCUCCAUUGAGCGAUUAUUUGGGGGGUCUUACCAGCGAGCUAGAGGAUGGUGAUCAUAUUGUCGAGUUUGUCAGUGCUGGUCCUAAAACCUAUGGGUAUAAAACUAAAAACGGAAAAACAUCUAUGAAAGCAAAAGGCAUCACUUUAAAUUACUCCAAUUCAAAAGUUGUCAAUUUGAAAUCGCUUACUGAGCUGGUGGAUGAUCGAGUGAAGAAUCCUGAUAAAAUCGGUCAUCUUACAACAUUGCACAAACAAAUCAUUCGAGAUAAAAAGGGUUUUCAUUUGAGAAAUCAAACACAAAUAAAAAGAUUCAGAGUUGUGUAUGACAAACGUGUUUUAUAACCUGAUUUUACAACUCUCCCUUACGGUUAUUAAGAUUGUUCGUGCUUAUGAUUGUAUAUAUGUAUAAUAAAAAGAUCAUUUGUUUUAUUACCUGAAAUUACAACUCUCACUUAUGAGAGUUCUAUGUAUGUAUAAUAAAAAGAUCAUUUUGAUUGAUUCUGUCAACCUGACCACUAGCCAUGGAUAACAUGAAUGUGACUACUUUUGAUGCGAGAUUGCAAAUGCCAUUUUCAUGUAUUGUGUGUGGACCAAGUAAUAGCGGUAAAUCUUUUUUUAUCAAACUUUUGCUGGAAAACAGUAAAGAAGUGUUGUCAAAAGUACCUGAAAAUAUCGGGUGGAUUUAUUCUUGUUGGCAACCAUUGUAUGAUGAGUUGAUGACCAAAAUAAACAUAAAAUUUCUUCAAGGAAUACCCGAUUCAUUGUGUGAUGAUGAACUUUUACCUACUAACAAGACAAACUUGUUGGUGAUAGAUGAUUUAAUGGAGUCUGCCAGUAAAAACGAGGAAGUAGAGAAGGCAUUCACAAAAUACACACACCACAGAAAUCUAAGUGUUGUCUAUCUGGUACAGAAUUUGUUUUUUCAAGGAAAAAGUAGUAGAACCAUUAACUUAAACACAAAUUAUAUGAUUCUUUUUAAAAAUCCUAGAGAUAAAUUACAAAUCAGCAUACUAGCUCGGCAAAUGUAUCCAGAUAAUAGCAAAUAUUUUCUGGAAAGUUUUCACGAUGCUACAAUUAAACCUUACGGUUAUUUAUUUGUCGAUUUAAAAGCUAAUACGCCAGAAGACUUUAGACUACGGUCUGGGGUGUUUCCGCAAGAAACCCCGGUUGUGUAUAUCAGUCUACAGUUCGUUGUCCCCUGUUUUUAAUUCCCCAAUUCUCCCCCCCUCUGAAUGGAUUGAUUUUUGA